UAUCUGUGCUGAUGAACGGAUGAAUACCGUGACUCCAGUAUUGGAAACACCGUAAACAAGUGCGUUCAUCCUUUCACGUCAGAGUACAAGGGUCAUAAAUACAUGAAUGGAUCAAUAUUUUUGAGUUCUAACCUACUAUUAUAAAUGGCACACAUAUAGUUUCUUUUUUUAUCUGAAACUAAUUAGAUAUAAAAAUAUCAAU